rnacentral:rRNA from 1 species
UACGUAGGGUGCAAGCGUUGUCCGGAAUUAUUGGGCGUAAAGAGCUCGUAGGCGGUUUGUCACGUCGGAUGUGAAACCCCGGGGCUUAACUCCGGGCCUGCAUUCGAUACGGGCUGACUAGAGUUCGGCAGGGGAGACUGGAAUUCCUGGUGUAGCGGUGAAAUGCGCAGAUAUCAGGAGGAAUACCGGUGGCGAAGGCGGCAUCCUGGACCGGCAUUGACGCUGAGGAGCGAAAGCUAGGGGAGCAAACGGG